UAGUACCAAUUUCUACAAACUCACAAAGACUGUAGCAUAAAUUGUUAACGUUCUUUGCCUGUUUUUAUUAUCUCUUGUAGACGUUUCUUUCACCAUAGGUUGUGUGAAUGUUAAUUUAUAAAAUACAUAAUCAUAAGUUUACCCAAAAACAAUGUCAGAGAGUUUAGAAAAAAGUUGAUUCUAGUGCAAUAAAAGAAAAUUGAAUGUACAUAACCUCGUCAUUGUAUUGUUUUUCAAAAAUCAUUUUAAUUUCAAUAGCUAUUUAAUUUACAAAGGUACAUGAUGAUUUGGUGUAGUACUGUCAUAGUUGGUAUUUUGGUGGUUCAUAUAUUUAAUUGAUUGUCAUCAUCAACAUAAGAAUUGUGUAACGGAAUAUGCUAUACAUACCUUUAAAUCACUUUUCAGUUGACUUAAAAUGCCUUGGCUUAUUAUAAAUGAUAUUCACCCAUUUUUCUUUCAGAAUGUGAUAAUCAAAAA
rnacentral:lncRNA from 1 species